rnacentral:tRNA from 1 species
CGCCCGGUGGUGAAACAGCAUCACGUCUGUCUUACACACAGAAGUCGGGGGCGCAACUCCUCCCCGGGCGACCA